rnacentral:rRNA from 1 species
AAAGUAGGGGAUCGCAAGACCUUACGCUUUUGGAGCGGCCGAUGUCUGAUUAGCUAGUUGGUGAGGUAAAGGCUUACCAAGGCUUCGAUCAGUAGCUGGUCUGAGAGGACGACCAGCCACACUGGGACUGAGACACGGCCCAGACUCCUACGGGAGGCAGCAGUGGGGAAUUUUGGACAAUGGGCGAAACCCUGAUCCAGCCAUGCCGCGUGAGUGAAGAAGGCCUUCGGGUUGUAAAGCUCUUUCAGCCGGAAAGAAACGGUUACGAUUAAUACCUGUAACUAAUGACGGUACCGAAAGAAGAAGCACCGGCUAACUACGUGCCAGCAGCCGCGGUAAUACGUAGGGUGCGAGCGUUAAUCGGAAUUACUGGGCGUAAAGGGUGCGCAGGUGGUUUUGUAAGUCAGAUGUGAAAUCCCCGGGCUUAACCUGGGAACUGCGUUUGAAACUACAAAGCUAGA